UAAUCCAGUCUUCCAGAUUAGAUAUUACGAAUAAAUCGCAUCCAACCUCCAAAGAUAGCUUUUAAGGAGAUGAUGAUAACGGAGCGAUGCUCAUCUCAUAUUAGAUUAUUCCAUCCGUGGCUUAGAUGUUACUACUGAACCGUCUCCGACCUCUAAGAAGAAACUUCAAAAGAGAGAUCUUCAAGGAGAUGAAGAUGAAGGGAGCUGACCUUGACGACAUUGAUCAUAUGAAGAGGGGGGUCACCUCCAAUCAGAUCAUUCCAUCUUCGCCUUGGUUAUUAAAGCCUCAACUGUCUUCAACCGCCAAGAAGGGCCUUCACUCGGAUCAUCCCAAUUCUAGCCUAGCUAGUACUACUGAAUCAAUUUCGACCGUUAGAAAUUCAAGGGAGUUCAUUCCUUUCAUCUCUCUAUUAAGUUUGUUUGCUUUCAUACUUAAAUUUUUACUUUGCACUUAUUUGGUCUUAUCUAUCUGUUGGUUUAAUUUGGGUUACAUCCAGGGCCGUAACUUCCAUGAGGCCAGAGAGGCGAUCGCCUCAGGGCCCAGCCCAAUGAAGGGCCCAUUUUUUUAUUAAAAAAAUGAGAGAUAUGGACCCUAAAUGGCUGUUAAACCUAUUCUCACGGUUCCGAGGCACACACCGACGCAUGACUCUUAUUUGUACAUAAUUUAUUCUUCGGUGUUGCUCUUCUUUGCACGUGAUUUCUUCUUCGGCGUUCUUUCUACUAAAACACGGAUUCACGGAACAAGAGGUUGGCAGUUGGCCUUUGUUCGCGUGACUUAAUUGCAUAGCACGGGGCUGCCACACGUUACCUCAGUCGCUUGUGCGAACUGCGACCUAAUUGCAUGGUGGUUACUACUUGUCGUCUUGCUACUGCCUGUGGCUACCGCAUUGGUAUCAGUAUUAUAGGAUACACUAAAUGAGCUACCAAUGUUAUCUAUUGAGAAAGAAAUAGUUCGACAAUUGAAUUAUGCAAAUUUGAUAAUUGUUUUUAUCU